GAGGUGAAAGAAGAACCUUCACUCCUUGAGGUGAAGCAAGAACAGGAGCAGGAGCAGGAACCAGAACAAGAACAAGAAGAGGAACAGGAACAAGAACAGGAACAGGAACAGGAACAGGAAAAAGAACUACAACAAGAAGAUGUUGCUGCUACUGCGGGUGGUGGUGAAAGGUGGCCAGGGUGGCCAGGGGAAAGUGUAUUCCGCAUGCUGGUCCCUUCACAAAAAGUAGGUAGUAUUAUUGGACGCAAAGGAGAGUACAUAAAAAAAACAGUUGAAGAAUCAAAAGCUCGUAUCAAGAUUCUCGAUGGUCCUCCAGGGACUUCUGAGAGAGCAGUAAGUCCCAGCUUUUCUACUGUAUAUAUACACAUUCCUGUAGGCAAGAUACUUAUCAAACUCCACCCUGUUUUCUUCUGUUACUUUUUGUUUCGUUGCUUACUAAUCCAUGUUUUUCCUUUUCUACCUUUAAAAAACUUAGUAUACCUNNNNNNNNNNNNNNNNNNNNNNNNNNNNNNNNNNNNNNNNNNNNNNNNNNNNNNNNNNNNNNNNNNNNNNNNNNNNNNNNNNNNNNNNNNNNNNNNNNNNNNNNNNNNNGGAUUUGAGUUGUUCGAUCGUAACCUCUUGCUGUUAUUUGUCUCUUUCCCCAUCUCAUCUCUUCCUUUCUUGUGGUUGUCUAGGUAUGAUACUUAUUGGGUGAAAUUAACUGUUGGUCGAUAUGGACCUGUGUUAACUAAUAUUUCCUCUUUAAAACUGCUUGUGUAGUUGGUCAAAGUAUUUAAAACUGCUGCGCUUUUAUAAGUAGAGUUGGGUGACUGCUAUUGGGUUUAAGAGAAAUGCGGACAUCUGGUAAUUGAUGGAAAGUGAAACAAGAAGCUUAUAAUGUCUGUUCAAGAAAGUCAGCAAAAGUGCCGUUGGAGCAUUCACCGGAAAGAAUAUAAGGGAAAAAUUUGUAGCAGGCAGGCAGUGUGUGGCCCUUCAUUAUUAGGUGGAAGUUCCUUGAACCUCUACAAUGAUCAUAGAGACUUUGAUACCAUGUGAGAAUGCGAAUCUGAUACCCUUUAAGAAUUCGAUAGAGGUGAUAUAUUGAUUGCUUGAUGAUUUGAUCAAGGCAGGGCAAUAGGUAUUUAAAGUUUAAACACUAGGCACAUAAGAUAUUUGCCAAUGUGGGACGAUAUCUAGCAUAAGAAUAUUACUGUCUUAACACUCUAUCUCUAACACUAACAGUAACCUUAACCUUCUAAUUUGAAUUGUUAAGAAAUGGAACAUAUGGUAAAAAGUUUGAAUGCAGACGGUAUAUAUUUAAUUUGAGUAAAGAGAAUUCCUUACUAUGUAAGAAGGCGAACCACAAUAUUUGGGCACGAGCUUUGUAAUUACUCUCUCCGUCCCAGGUUUGGCGUCGCAUUUAGUUGGGACAUGAAUUUCAUUUAAGAGUUGAAGCCUUACUAUUCUUUUAACUAAAGCAGGUCUAAAAGUAAAGAUGACGUUAACUUUUGAUAACUUUCAACGUUUAAAAUAAUAUGAAAAUUCAUUAUUGUAAUAAGAAUAACAGCUUUAUUAUUUCUAAAUUUAAAGGUCCAAAAGUAGAGACAACAUUGACUUUUUGGCAAUUUCAAUGUUUAGAAUAAGAUGGAAGUGCGCUUCUGUAAUAGUAACCACAGGUGUCUAAAAUAGUAGAGAAAACGUUUCUAUUAUUGGAAGAGGGAGACAAUCUGGAACAACCCAACGUAGAUGUAAGGCAGAUGAUUUGGCACAUGAAUAUUUUAUUAACCAGAAUUCUAAAAUAUUUGUCUUUUACAAUAACACAAUUCUUAGAGUAUGGUUCAUACUAAUGAAAGCGAACACACUCUCGCUAUAGUAUUUUAGUCUGUACUAAUGAAAGACAAAAUACUUUAUGUAGAUGUAUAUAUUUUGCUAAUGGAAGAGAGCACACAUUCUUCUAGUUCAUGAUUCGAAACUUGUAUCGCUGCAGUUAAGUUAUAACAUCUUUUUUGUUAAGUACAGUUAAGUUAUAAUUUAUUGUAAUGAAUUGCUGCUAUGGGGAUAGGUAAUGGUAUCUGCCAAGGAGGAUCCCGAUGCCUCUCUUCCACCUGCUAUAGAUGGUCUUCUGAGGGUUCAUAAACGUGUUGUUGAUGGGCUCGAGAGUGAUUCUUCUCAUCCUCCUCCAGGUAUACCUGGAAAGGUCUCG
rnacentral:lncRNA from 1 species